rnacentral:rRNA from 1 species
AUUGAACGCUGGCGGCAGGCUUAACACAUGCAAGUCGAGCGGAGGAAGGGAGCUUGCUCCUGGAUUCAGCGGCGGACGGGUGAGUAAUGCCUAGGAAUCUGCCUGGUAGUGGGGGAUAACGUCCGGAAACGGGCGCUAAUACCGCAUACGUCCUGAGGGAGAAAGUGGGGGAUCUUCGGACCUCACGCUAUCAGAUGAGCCUAGGUCGGAUUAGCUAGUUGGAGGGGUAAAGGCCUACCAAGGCGACGAUCCGUAACUGGUCUGAGAGGAUGAUCAGUCACACUGGAACUGAGACACGGUCCAGACUCCUACGGGAGGCAGCAGUGGGGAAUAUUGGACAAUGGGCGAAAGCCUGAUCCAGCCAUGCCGCGUGUGUGAAGAAGGUCUUCGGAUUGUAAAGCACUUUAAGUUGGGAGGAAGGGCAGUAAGUUAAUACCUUGCUGUUUUGACGUUACCAACAGAAUAAGCACCGGCUAACUUCGUG